CGAGCAGGCGGUUUGGUAAGUUACCUAUGAAAGCUCCCGGCUAAACUGGGAGAGGAUAGGUGAUACUGCUAGACUAGAGUGAGAAAGAGGAAAGUAGAAUUCCGGGUGUAGUGGUGAAAUGCGUAGAUAUCCGGAGGAAUACCAGUGGCGAAGGCGGCUUUCUGGUUCUCAACUGACGCUGAGACGCGAAAGCGUGGGUAGCGAACG
rnacentral:rRNA from 1 species